rnacentral:rRNA from 1 species
CAGUCGCCGCGGUAAAACGAAGGGUGCAAGCGUUAAUCGGAAUUACUGGGCGUAAAGCGUGCGUAGGCGGUUUGUUAAGUCCGUUGUGAAAUCCCCGGGCUCAACCUGGGAAUGGCAAUGGAUACUGGCAAGCUAGAGUGUGUCAGAGGAUGGUGGAAUUCCCGGUGUAGCGGUGAAAUGCGUAGAGAUCGGGAGGAACAUCAGUGGCGAAGGCGGCCAUCUGGGACAACACUGACGCUGAGGCACGAAAGCGUGGGGAGCAAACAGGAUUAGAUACCCCCGUAGUCCCUGUCUCUUAUAA